rnacentral:rRNA from 1 species
GAUGAACGCUGGCGGCGUGCUUAACACAUGCAAGUCGAGCGAGAAAAGUUCUUCGGAGCUUUUCUAGCGGCGGACGGGUGAGUAACACGUGGGCAACCUGCCUCAUAGAGGGGAAUAGCCUUCCGCAAGGAAGAUUAAUACCGCAUAAUAUUGUUGAAAGGCAUCUUUUAACAGUCAAAGGAGCAAUCCGCUAUGAGAUGGGGCCGCGGCGCAUUAGCUAGUUGGUGAGGUAACGGCUCACCAAGGCGACGAUGCGUAGCCGACCGGAGAGGGUGAUCGGCCACAAUGGAAGAGGGCCACGGACCAGACUCCGACGGGAGGCAGGAGUGGGGAGUAUUGCACAAUGGGGGAAACCGUGAUGCAGCAACGCCGGGUGAGUGAUGAAGGGCUUCGGAUUGUAAAGCUCUGUCUUUAGGGGCGAUAGAGACGGUACCUAAGGAGGAAGCCACGGCUAACUACGUGCCAGCAGCCGCGGUAAGAC